CGCGGCCUAUCAGCUUGUUGGUGGGGUAAUGGCCUACCAAGGCGACGACGGGUAGCCGGCCUGAGAGGGUGAUCGGCCACACUGGGACUGAGACACGGCCCAGACUCCUGCGGGAGGCAGCAGUGGGGAAUAUUGCACAACGGGCGAAAGCCUGAUGCAGCGACGCCGCGUGGGGGAUGACGGUCUUCGGAUUGUAAACCCCUUUCAGUAGGGACGAAGCGCAAGUGACGGUACCUGCAGAAGAAGCACCGGCUAACUACGUGCCAGCAGCCGCGGUAAUACGUAGGGUGCGAGCGUUGUCCGGAAUUACUGGGCGUAAAGAGCUCGUAGGCGGUUUGUCACGUCGUCUGUGAAAUCCCUCGGCUUAACCGGGGGCGUGCAGGCGAUACGGGCAGACUUGAGUACUACAGGGGAGACUGGAAUUCCUGGUGUAGCGGUGAAAUGCGCAGAUAUCAGGAGGAACACCGGUGGCGAAGGCGGUUCUCUGGGCCUUACCUGACGCUGAGGAGCGAAAGCGUGGGGAGCGAACAGGAUUAGAUACCCUGGUAGUCCACGCUGUAAACGUUGGGCGCUAGGUGUGGGGACCUUCCACGGUUUCCGCGCCGUAGCUAACGCAUUAAGCGCCCCGCCUGGGGAGUACGG
rnacentral:rRNA from 1 species